AGAGCUGAAGGUUUGGGCGGGAUAUGAAGUUAACGAAAAGUUUGGACAAAACGCAAGGUACAGUGCCCUCUCUCUUCUCUACGUUCCCUAUCUCUUCUUUGAGCCCUCCGCGUACGUGUCUUCUCUUUUCUCUAGUUUGAGCCCUUCCGCGUGCCUUCGUUGCGCCUCUUUCCCGUGAACACAGCUGCUACCACCGAACAGCAACAUUUUGGUACUUUCAAGGACCAGCUUCUCUUAGUCCACAAGCAAGCCUCCAACAACACUUUUAUCACUGAAAUGGGGUACACCUGAAGUGGUUUCAUCUACCAAAGGUUGCUGCGCCUAAAUUGGUUGUCACAGUGAACAACAAUAUUGAAUGAAUUCUGCCUUUAACACAGCACUGGAAUUUGUGAAGUCAAAGCUACAAUACUUGGGAAUUUGCUAUGAAAAAUCAUAGCAAAUUGACUAAGAAGGUCACUGAACAAGUAAGAAUACUUGCCAAGGAUGAAGACGAGGAACUAACUGAUGUGAACCCACCGUAUGACCAAGCAAAGGCAUUUGGUAAAACAAACAUUGAUGUUGAUCGCAUUGCUGCUAGGUUACCAUGUGGCAGCAAAGGAUUCCUUUUGAUGUAUGCUCGCUGGAAAAAGCUUGAAAGACACUUGUACAACGAACGCAAAUUGCGGUUUGAUAUAACUCAAAUUCCUGAUGUCUAUGAUUCGUGCUAGUAAGUCAUCUGUUUCAAAUCCAUAUUGGAUCCAAGUAGUAAGAAAGCAUGACAUCACUUUACACACAUAUUUGUAAUUUUUGUAUUUCAAAUGGAAAUAUUAUCGUUUAUUAUUGUUAACUUUGUUUACUUCUUUGUUCCUUAAUCUCAUUCCUUUUGCCUUACCACCCCCCUUUAAAAUCCUCCCCAAACAUCACUUGGGUUUGUUUGUAAGAGUGAAUCUGUGCAACAUCCAAGACAAUUGAAGUAAUCGGUAAUAAAUGAAUUGCCAUAAACUUGGGAGGAAGAAAAUGUAUUCUACUGACUCAGGCAAGUUGGGAGGAAGAAAAUGUAUUCUGAAAAUGUUCUAUUCUCAUUGUAUAAUAUGAAUUUACAAAAGAGUAUUUAUAGACAUUUAGAGCCAUAACAGAAUUGGCAUGCGCAUAGUGUCAAGUAGCUGAUGUGCGCUGUUGUGCAAGUGGUAUGGCUGAGUGAGUUAGAAUAUUUCCUGAGCACUAUAAUACAACCAAUCAAAAACAAUAUAGCACAACCACAAAGGUGUCUUCAAGUCUACUCUACUUGACUCCAAAAUCUUCUAGACAGUUGGAUAAAAUGGUGGAGCCUUG